rnacentral:tRNA from 1 species
GAGCCGGUUCGUUCAGGCGGAUCGAGCCGGCCUCCGACGUCGGCGCCACCGGUUCGAGCCGGACCCGCGCA